GGAGUAGGGAGCCAAAGUUCCUCGAGAAUGAAGACAAACUUGCUACGCAAUUGCUUCAUUCUGCACUUAAUAAAGUGAUCAUAUUCCGAGACCAGUAUGACUGGUUUAUAGCGAAAAACGCCUCGGAAAUGUACUUCUCCUUGCAUUAUUUUGAUAAUGCAAAUGAAGAGGUACCUCUAAACGACUUACCAGGACCGUACUUGGCCCUAGUAACAGAGAUCGAGCAAUUCUUUGAAAUGCUGAUCGGUUUAGAGAUGAACUGGGUUGAUCGCCCAGAGGCUAUAUACCAAGACCUUUAUAUGGAAAUGGAUGCCACACUUUAUUACGAGGAGGCCCUUGAACUUCACGAAAGAGUUGAUAAACUCGAGUUUAAGCUUAAACCUUAUGAAGGAAAAGCAAAACCCGGGAAAACAAUCCACGAGACUGCACCGAUACUUACUGCUUUACGCGGUAUUAUUGGUACUGGUCUACGAAGAUGGAACAACUCUCCUACUUCAGUAACUAUUAGUACGUUACUGAGGUAGUGUGGUAGGAAUCCCCCGCCCUUUUAAUCAGUACUGUCUUUCUUCAGUAGACGGAGUGACCCUUAGGGGACAACCGUGCGAUGAAGAUAACAACUGUAUUAGCUGACACUUCAGUAAACUCUCAAUAAGUUUUAUAACAAUAAAAACCACACUCUAGGUCCGGGUGAAAUACCGGGUAACCAUGGAGGUCGUUCUUAUUAAGAGAGCUCAAGAAACGGAGCUAAUACACUGCUAUUUCCCUCUCGUAGAAAAUCUACGCGCGUUGGCCUGACAUAGUGCACCGGGUGUUAUACCGGGAAACUAUGAAGGGGACCAAUGGUGGGGAAAGACAGCUACCAAUUGAAAUUGGUGGAGCUUCUUAUUUUACAAACCAGAGUGGUUCACUAAAGAACCUUUAACGGCUUAGUACUAGUAGAGCGUUCCUUUAUCAGAAACGCGCAGCUAGGACUAAGGUCCGAUUUUAAC
rnacentral:misc_RNA from 1 species